AUAACUGAGCGGAUCGCACUGGUCCUAGUACCGGCGACAUAUCCUUCAAGUGUCUGCCUUAUCAACUUUCGAUGGUAGUUUAUAUGCCUACCAUGGUUGUAACGGGUAACGGAAAAUCAGGGUUUGAUUCCGGAGAGGGCGCCUGAGAAAUGGCGACCACUUCUAAGGAAGGCAGCAGGCGCGUAACUUACCCACUCUCAGAUCGAGGAGGUAGUGACGAAAAAUAUCGAGCUGGCGGUCAUUCGACUGCCAGCAUCGGAAUGAGAACAAUAUAAACGUGUUAUCGAGUAACUAGCAGAGGGCAAGUCUGGUGCCAGCAGCCGCGGUAAUYCCAGCUCUGCAAGUGUAUAUCAAUGUUGCUGCGGUUAAAAAGCUCGUAGUUGGAUCUGCGUGACCAGGGUCCGGUCCAGCCCAGUGCUGCGUACUGGUACCCGUCACUUACCACUGCUGGUCUUGUCCCAAUGCCUUUCAUCGGGUGUUGGUGGCUGGCUAGCGAGUUUACUUUGAAAAAAUUAGAGUGCUCAAAACAGGCGUUGUGCCUGAAUACUUCUGCAUGGAAUAAUGGAAGAGGACCUCAGUUCUGUUUUGUUGGUUUUAAGAGCAUGAGGUAAUGAUUAAGAGGAACAGACGGGGGCAUUCGUAUUCCGACGUUAGAGGUGAAAUUCUUGGAUCGUCGGAAGACGAACAACUGCGAAGGCAUU
rnacentral:rRNA from 1 species